UUGGUGACCAGCGGAGGGAUCAUUACCGAGUUUACAACUCCCAAACCCAAUGUGAACGUUACCAAACUGUUGCCUCGGCGGGAUCUCUGCCCCGGGUGCGUCGCAGCCCCGGACCAAGGCGCCCGCCGGAGGACCAACCAAAACUCUUAUUGUAUACCCCCUCGCGGGUUUUUUACUAUCUGAGCCAUCUCGGCGCCCCUCGUGGGCGUUUCGAAAAUGAAUCAAAACUUUCAACAACGGAUCUCUUGGUUCUGGCAUCGAUGAAGAACGCAGCGAAAUGCGAUAAGUAAUGUGAAUUGCAGAAUUCAGUGAAUCAUCGAAUCUUUGAACGCACAUUGCGCCCGCCAGUAUUCUGGCGGGCAUGCCUGUCCGAGCGUCAUUUCAACCCUCGAACCCCUCCGGGGGGUCGGCGUUGGGGAUCGGCCCUUUACGGGGCCGGCCCCGAAAUACAGUGGCGGUCUCGCCGCAGCCUCUCCUGCGCAGUAGUUUGCACACUCGCAUCGGGAGCGCGGCGCGUCCACAGCCGUUAAACACCCCAAACUUCUGAAAUGUUGACCUCGGAUCAGGUAGGAAUACCCGCUGAACUUAAGCAUAUCAAU
rnacentral:rRNA from 1 species